GAUGAACGNUGGCGGCGUGCUUAACACAUGCGAGUCGAACGAGCCUUCGGGCUAGUGGCGGACGGGUGAGUAACGCGUGGGAAUCUGCCCUCAGGAGGGGGAUAACGGCCGGAAACGGCCGCUAAUACCCCAUAUGCCGAGAGGUGAAAUGAAUUUCGCCUGAGGAUGAGCCCGCGUCUGAUUAGCUAGUUGGUGGGGUAAUGGCCCACCAAGGCGACGAUCAGUAGCUGGUCUGAGAGGAUGAUCAGCCACACUGGGACUGAGACACGGCCCAGACUCCUACGGGGGGCAGCAGUGGGGAAGUUUCCGCAAUGGGCGAAAGCCUGACGGAGCAACGCCGCGUGAGGGAUGAAGGCCUCUGGGCUGUAAACCUCUUUUCUCAAGGAAGAAGACAUGACGGUACUUGAGGAAUAAGCCACGGCUAAUUCCGUGCCAGCAGCCGCCGUAACAC
rnacentral:rRNA from 1 species